rnacentral:lncRNA from 1 species
UCUAUAACAUUAUUUUUAUAGAUUGUCAAUCAAAAAUCUAUAAGCUAUUAAUACAACAACAAUAUAUAAAGAUAGUAUUACAGGAAGAACAAAUUAUCUCCACAAUUCUAAAAAAAGUUAAAUCAGAGACUCUCACAUAGGAGUGGCAAUCCAGCUCGCUGUUCGCGAGCCAGCUCGUAUUUUGCUCGAAAUGAGCUCGAGAUCGAAUCGUUCAUUUAGUAAACGAGCCAAACACGAGUUGAAUUUUUCAGUUCGUUUAAUAAACGAGUCGAACACGAGUUGAGGUCAGCUUAUUCGUGUUCGGCUCGAUAACAGCUCGAAUACAUAUAUUUUAUAUUUAUAUAUAUAAAUAAAUAAUUAUAUAUAUAAUAUAUAUUUUUAUUAUUUUAUUUUUAGCAAAAUUAAAAUAUAAAGCCGAGCUUAAUUAUAAAAAGACUCAUUUAUUUAUAAAGUUUCAACAAUUUGAUCAAAGUCUAAUGGGUAACACUUUAUAAAUUUAAUUUUUAUAUAUAUCAAAUCUAUUUUUUUAACUUAUUAUUCGUUAGUCAGCUCGUGAGUCGGCUCAUAUUCGACGAACACGAACUGAAUUUUUCAGUUCGAUAUUUUAACCGGCCAGUUCGUAUUCAGCAAGCACAAGCCGG